rnacentral:rRNA from 1 species
UACGGGGGGAGCAAGCGUUGUCCGGAAUUAUUGGGCGUAAAGAGCUCGUAGGCGGUUUGUUGCGUCGGCUGUGAAAACCUGAGGCUCAACCUCAGGCCUGCAGUCGAUACGAGCAGACUAGAGUGUUGCAGGGGAGACUGGAAUUCCUGGUGUAGCGGUGAAAUGCGCAGAUAUCAGGAGGAACACCGGUGGCGAAGGCGGGUCUCUGGGCAUUACCUGACGCUGGAG